UCCCUCAUACCUCAGUCGGUAAAGAAUCUGCCUGCAAUGCAGGAGACCUGGGUUCAAUUCCUGGGUUGGGAA
rnacentral:tRNA from 1 species